CCGACAGAGAUCAUUGCGGCAUGGUUGGCAUUUUUAAUGCUACAGUUGGGAGCGGGCAAUUUUGCGAUUCAAAUAUAUUGUUGUCCCGUAGAUUAUUUGAAAAUGUUCGUCUUUCUGCUUUGUAUGCGUUAGCCUACCUGUUGUAUUAAAAGCACAUCUUUGUCAAAGUAUUCACACAAUCAGAAUUCGCUGCUUCAAGUUACAGUAAGUAGCCUACCUCUCCUCGUUGGGCGUGCGAGAUCAAGUGCCCUAGUAUAUGUGUGGUCUCAAUGAAAUAGAGUAGGCUGCCUAUGCAUGGGCGGAGAAGCACGGGGCAGUUAGCUUUCGUAGGACAUUUACUUCCUACAUAUGAUUAGGCUAAUAGUUUACUACAUUGCCUAGAAAUAAAUAUUGAUCACGCAUCUUUGGAUACUGGAUGCUGAUUGGCUAAAACAGCAUUUAGCUGUGUGUGAGACGGUAUACCAUGACUAUGACUGUUUAGGCUUGUCACCUUGAUAUCGUUGCGCCUUUUCACGUCGAUAAAAUGGCAACAUCAACAAUAGUUCGACAUGCCGAUGUAGAAAAUAAGCCUUUCGAUCAACUUGAUAGAAACCGAAACAAACUAAAUGGGCACUUGCCUGCUUCACUGACUGGUGUGCAGAACAUGGGAUACAUUGUGAGUUUGGGAAUACAACUAAAACGGAACCGAACGUCAUUCUAUGAUACUUUCAUGGUUUUGUGAGAAACAUGUAUGGCGAAUAAUAUAGGAUUAGCAGCUAACAUUACGCUGGACUCUGAGCUGGUUUGAACCGACAUAUCAACGACCCCAUUAGUCUGGAAUGGAGUAGACAGAAGGACACCAAAUUCACAACGAGCAACAAACAAUGUGUCUGUCGGCGUAAUUAAAAAGUUGAGGAAAGAGGGCCUCAACAAAGCUGCCCACCAGUGAACUGAUACAUAUGUACACAAAAGACGAGCCGAUGGGAGUGACCACCCUCACCCCCACCCCCACCCAUUUAAACAAACCACUGCCUCCGAACCACCGUGAUUCAGAAACUGUCGGAUGAUCAAUGGCGACCCAUCAUUCAGGACAGGUGGGGCAGCCCCACCUGUUUUGAGCGACACACUUUUUUUUUUUUUUAGGGGGUGCGGGGCUUGCCUGUUUUGCUUGAUAUUUUGGCAUUAAUAUAUGUUAUAUCAGUUUGCAAACAAUGUAACAAAAAAAAUGUAAUUGAGUUAAUAAAGCCGCAUACAAACAUGGUCUCUUGCUUUCUUGCGUAAGGCAGCUCAAAAAUGCAGGCGUUUCAGCCUAGCGCAGUGCUUUCUGUGGUGGUGUGAUUGGCAGUAGAAAAUACGUGAACGUCUUCAUCGAAAUUCGGGUUGCUUCUCAUCAGCGUGUAGUCUUAUACCAUAAUUUGUACAUCUCAACAUUUAAUGUAAGCUUGCUAGCUAGCCUGUGGUUGUUGCAUAGUAAUGAGACUUUUGUCCGGACUACUUUUUCUGGCGGAAUUGAUUUAUUAAAGCAACAUUUUCAAAUUAGAUGUGUAGUUCCUUGCCAUACUGUGUUGGCAACCGGUUUAUAAAGGUACCUCGGGUGUUAAUGGUAUAUGGCCUAUAUACCACGGCUAAGGGCUGUAUCCAGGCACUCCCUUAGCUGUGGUAAAUAGGCCAUAUGCCGUAUUGCUUAACAAUAUAGCCCAGUAAUACCGAAAUAAAAUCGUCGCUAUUUUGACUGCCUGUAUGUGUCUUGCUUGUGUUUGAUAUUCUUGC
ensembl:lncRNA